rnacentral:rRNA from 1 species
UACGUAGGGGGCAAGCGUUGUCCGGAAUUAUUGGGCGUAAAGAGCGUGUAGGCGGCCAGAUAAGUCCGCUGUGAAAAUCUCGAGGCUCAACUUCGAGCUGUCGGUGGAAACUAUCUGGCUAGAGUCCGGAAGAGGAGAAUGGAAAUUCCUGGUGUAGCGGUGAAAUGCGCAGAUAUCAGGAAGAACACCCGUGGCGAAGGCGGUCUCUGGGGACGGUACUGACGCUGAGACGCGAAAGCGUGGGGGAGCGAACAGGAUA